AGCUCUUAUUGACUCCCAGUGAUGAAUCAGAAACAGACUCUUGGAAAAGAGAAAUCAAGUGGCAGCCCAGGAGUUUUGUUUAGUGAAAUCAUUCCAGUUGAAUUCUGGUGUCCAAGAUCAUGAAGAAUAUCCAAGAAAAAAAAGUUGCCUGGAUUUAUAGGAAGUCUAAAAAACCUUGGCUUUCCUUUGCAUAUCUGGGUUUAUGUGAUGCACACUAAUCCAACAAAUGGAAGAAAUUAUGCAUCAUGUCAGAGAGCUUUCAGAAAGAGAAUUUGGAACAAAGAAGUCGAUACAUGAAGCAUUCAUAAAGUCAAAGGGAUGGUGAGAUAACCGGUGAG